CCCAUCUGGGAAAAACCAGACAAACAGAAACAAACCCAGCAUUACUACUUACCUAAAAAUCGUCCUACAAAAACAAUCCGUUCUCCAAAUGCUAGAAGAUCCUAUUUAACUCCUCUAGAUGGGAUAAAGGGAACUGACUGCCUGGAUGAGGAAGGACUCUUUGGGCCUAGUCGUCUAGAGUAUGUAUUGCUGUUCAACACUAAGUAGUACUGAGGGAAGGCAUCAAAGAAAGGGCCAACAUGUUUGUUUGCCUAUAAGGACAACUAAGAUACUCAGCUAACUAGGACACUAGUACUACAUGAAUGCUAAGUGCCCUAAGACUCUCCCCAAUCUAGAGGAGGGAGUCUCGGGUGUUCCUGGGAUGGGGAUCUUGACCUUACCUUUUCCUUCUCUUCUCAUCUAGCUCCAGUUUUGCAUGCCUCUUUGAAAACACACUGUCAUCCAGGUUCUGGAAGAGCAACAGUAGGGGGUGGUUUCCCUGCAACAGUUGAUGGCCAAGGAUAUCAAACCUUAAACUCAGAACAUGGCAGGUGAGUAAAAGUUGACCCUAUUUUUCAAAUAAAUAGAUCAGUGUUCUCAGAACUUA